rnacentral:rRNA from 1 species
GAUCAUGGCUCAGAUUGAACGCUGGCGGCAUGCCUUACACAUGCAAGUCGAACGGCAGCACGGGAGCUUGCUCCUGGUGGCGAGUGGCGAACGGGUGAGUAAUACAUCGGAACGUACCCUGAAGUGGGGGAUAACGUAGCGAAAGUUACGCUAAUACCGCAUAUUCUGUGAGCAGGAAAGAGGGGGAUCGCAAGACCUCUUGCUUUAGGAGCGGCCGAUGUCGGAUUAGCUAGUUGGUGAGGUAAAGGCUCACCAAGGCGACGAUCCGUAGCGGGUCUGAGAGGAUGAUCCGCCACACUGGGACUGAGACACGGCCCAGACUCCUACGGGAGGCAGCAGUGGGGAAUUUUGGACAAUGGGCGCAAGCCUGAUCCAGCCAUGCCGCGUGAGUGAAGAAGGCCUUCGGGUUGUAGAGCUCUUUCGGUGGGGAAGAAAUUGCUUCGGUUAAUACCUGGAGUAGAUGACGGUACCCGCAUAAGAAGCACCGGCUAACUACGUG